rnacentral:rRNA from 1 species
AGAGUUUGAUCCUGGCUCAGAAUCAACGCUGGCGGCGUGCCUAACACAUGCAAGUCGAACGAGAAAGUGGAGCAAUCCAUGAGUAAAGUGGCGCACGGGUGAGUAACACGUGACUAACCUACCUUUGAGCGGGGGAUAACCUAGGGAAACCUGGGCUAAUACCGCAUAAUACCUACGGGUCAAAGCGAGCAAUCGCACUUAAAGAGGGGGUCGCGGCAGAUUAGCUAGUUGGUGAGGUAAUGGCUCACCAAGGCGAUGAUCUGUAUCCGGCCUGAGAGGGCGCACGGACACACUGGAACUGAAACACGGUCCAGACUCCUACGGGAGGCAGCAGUGGGGAAUUUUGUGCAAUGGGGGAAACCCUGACGCAGCAACGCCGCGUGGAGGAUGAAAUCCCUUGGGAUGUAAACUCCUUUCGAUCGGGACGAUAAUGACGGUACCGAUAGAAGAAGCCCCGGCUAACUUCGUGCCAGCAGCCGCGGUAAUACGAGGGGGGCAAGCGUUGUUCGGAAUUAUUGGGCGUAAAGGGUGCGUAGGCGGUUUGAUAAGUCUUGUGCGAAAUCUCUGGGCUCAACCCAGAGUCUGCAUAGGAAACUGUCGGGCUUGAGAACGGGAGAGGUGAGUGGAAUUUCCGGUGUAGCGGUGAAAUGCGUAGAUAUCGGAAGGAACACCUGUGGCGAAAGCGGCUCACUGGACCAUUUCUGACGCUGAUGCACGAAAGCUAGGGGAGCAAACAGGAUUAGAUACCCUGGUAGUCC